UACGAAGGGGGCUAGCGUCGUUCGGAAUUACUGGGCGUAAAGCGUGCGCAGUCGGCUUCUCAAGUCAGGGGUGAAAGCCCAGAGCUCAACUCUGGAAUUGCCUUUGAGACUGAGUGGCUUGAGUACGAGAGAGGUGAGUGGAAUUCCCAGUGUAGAGGUGAAAUUCGUAGAUAUUGGGAAGAACACCGGUGGCGAAGGCGGCUCACUGGCUCGUAACUGACGCUCAUGCACGACAGCGUGGGGAUCAAACAGG
rnacentral:rRNA from 1 species